AGAGAGAGACAUGCGCGCAUAUCAAUAAGCGGAGGAAAAGAAACUAACAAGGAUUCCCUUAGUAACGGCGAGUGAAGCGGGAAGAGCUCAAAUUUGAAAUCUUCAAGGUUUUACCUUGACGAAUUGUAGUUUAAAGAAGUGUUUUCUGUUGGAGUUUUGGUAAAAGUUCUUUGGAAUAGGACAUCAUAGAGGGUGAGAAUCCCGUAUUUGACCAUUAUUUUCAGCUUUGUGAUACACUUUCAAAGAGUCGGAUUGUUUGGGAAUGCAGUCCAAAAUGGGUGGUAAAUUUCAUCUAAAGCUAAAUAUUGGCGAGAGACCGAUAGCGAACAAGUACCGUGAGGGAAAGAUGAAAAGAACUUUGAAAAGAGAGUUAAACAGUACGUGAAAUUGUCAAAGGGAAGCGUUUGACACCAGUGUUGUUUUCUCGAAAAUCAAUUAAAAAUGGCUCGAUUUUGUAUUGUUGAGACCUUAAAAGCUCACUGUACAUUUUUCGUGUCUUUUUUAAUGCACUUUUCGUUUAACAAGUCAACAUCAGUUUCUUUUGUUGUAAAAGGGUCAUUGGAAGGUGGCUUUCUUUUCGGAGAAAGUGUUUAUAGCCUUUGGCCUCUGCAAUCGGAGAGACUGAGGUCUGCAGCGUAGACUCUUCGGGGUUAGAUACAUUUGUGCUAAGUUAUAGCUUUUUAUAGACAACUUGUUGACUAUAAUUAGUCUUGUAGCUUACUCGCUUAUGCUAUUUUACCUACGCUUAGGAUGUUGAAGAUGUAGCACAUCAU
rnacentral:rRNA from 1 species